UACGGGGGGGGCAAGCGUUGUUCGGAAUUACUGGGCGUAAAGGGCUUGUAGGUGGCCAACUAAGUCAGACGUGAAAUCCCUCGGCUUAACCGGGGAACUGCGUCUGAGACUGGAUGGCUUGAGUGUGGGAGAGGGAUGCGGAAUUCCAGGUGUAGCGGUGAAAUGCGUAGAUAUCAGGAGGAAUACCGGUGGCGAAAGCGACUCUCUGGACGGCAACUGACGCUGAGGCACGAAAGCGUGGGGAGCAAACAGG
rnacentral:rRNA from 1 species